ensembl:lncRNA novel transcript
AAUGCACAGGGCAGGCCACAGAGCUCGAGGGACGUGGGCAGGGGCCUUUUGGCAUUUCUGCGCUGGAAUCAUGUGAGACAAGGGUGGUGGCCGCUCUGGAGGUGCCUGGGGGGUUCCCUCAUUACCCCUCUGGGCUUAGUCCAUCCUCCACACUGUUGUGCAGCUUCUCCACCUCCUGGUAGAGGAUAAAUACUGUUACCCUUAUCCCUGGUCACAUCCAGGGAGACGCGGUCCAGCGGCCCAGGCGGGGGACAGUGCCGUUCUAGAGGUCCUUGAGCCCCUCCUUCCUCAGGAUCUGCAGCCAUAGGCCGGUGUGUUCCGCGUUUGUGCUGCUCCAGGCCCCGCAUCCGGUCUCGAUCCCAUCCAGAGGAGCGUUUCCCAAGACACUGGCUGCGCCCACAAUGGCUCCGAAGACCCCAGCGACCAGCGGGUCCAUGGGCUUGCUGGGGUUGUCCCCUCGGUACCAGCUGUGCAGGGAGGUCAGGAGGAGAAGCAGACGGCCUGGUUCCAGCCCUGCUUUAGCGUGGGUGCCAUGAGGCCCCGAUUAGGCCUCAUGUUAUAUAGGAGAGAUGUGAGGGCUGUGUCUCCAGAGUUGCAGUAGUGGAUGGGAUAGUGGUCCCUCCCCAUCAGCACUGUGGGACGUUUAAAGUAUUGCUGUGUGUUUCAAGUGGAGGAGGUCAUAUUACAACUGACAUUUGUCCUUGACUACUGGACAUAUCACACCAGCCCUGAUUGCAGUUAUACUUGAAGCCAGAUCUACCCUUAACGUAUAUUCAUUUUACUAUUCAAUAAAUAUUAACUUAUCAUGAAUGGUA